rnacentral:rRNA from 1 species
ACGGGAGGCAGCAGUGGGGAAUAUUGGGCAAUGGGCGAAAGCCUGACCCAGCGACGCCGCGUGAGGGAAGAAGGUCUUCGGAUUGUAAACCUUAGUCAACAGGGAAGAAGCAAGUGACGGUACCUGUGGAGGAAGCCACGGCUAACUACGUGCCAGCAGCCGCGGUAAUACGUAUGGAGCAAGCGUUAUCCGGAUUUACUGGGUGUAAAGGGAGCGUAGACGGUUUGCCAAGUCUGAUGUGAAAGGUGGGGGCUCAACCCCCAAACUGCAUUGGAAACUGGUAGACUAGAGUGUCGGAGAGGUAAGUGGAAUUCCUAGUGUAGCGGUGAAAUGCGUAGAUAUUAGGAGGAACACCAGUGGCGAAGGCGGCUUACUGGACGAUAACUGACGUUGAGGCUCGAAAGCGUGGGGAGCAAACAGGAUUAGAUACCCUGGUA